AACGAACGCUGGCGGCGCGUAUUAAGCAUGCAAGUCGAACGGGAGUGAGGCCCUUCGGGGACUCAUGAGAGUGGCGGACGGGUGAGUAACACGUAGGUGAUCUACCCUUGGGUGGGGAAUAGCCCAUGGAAACAUGGGGUAAUACCGCAUGAGGUCUUUCUGCGUAAAGCGGAUAGAUAAAAGGAGCAAUUGUUCCGCCUGGGGAUGAGCCUGCGGUCCAUUAGCUAGUUGGUGUGGUAAGAGCGCACCAAGGCGACGAUGGAUAGCCGGCCUGAGAGGGUGAACGGCCACACUGGGACUGAGACACGGCCCAGACUCCUACGGGAGGCAGCAGCUAAGAAUCUUCCGCAAUGGGGGAAACCCUGACGGAGCGACGCCGCGUGGGCGAAGAAGGCCGGAAGGUUGUAAAGCCCUUUUCUUGACGAAGAAUAAGGCAAGGAGUGGAACGCCUUGCUGAUGACGUUAGU
rnacentral:rRNA from 1 species